GAAUUCGGUUCUUUGUACUUAAUUUAUUAGCAUGAUUUCUUUUUUAAUAUGUUGUGUACAGACUUAAUUACUUCUCUGUCUAAUUUUCUUACUCCAUGUAGGUUUCCCAGAGACUAUGGGUUGAGGAGGAAUUGGAAGUUUGUCGGCUUAGACCUGGUGUCAUUCCAUCAGUGUUAAACUUCCCGGCUCAUCUUUGAAGAGUACGUGCCAGAAAGACCACGACCAAGCAGCCUUGAGAUCUUAGACAGCGUCUCCCUAAGGUCCCUCUCUAUCUCCACACAUCCACCAACCACUGGAACACAUCUCCAAAGUUCUGCUGGACCAGCUCAGCUUCCCCUCAGAAGAAGUGCUGCCACCUGCCAGAUGAAGGAGCCUUUUGAGAGGCAGCUGGCAUCGUGAUUGGACUGUACUUUGGUCUGUUCCAAUCCAGCUUCAGCUCCAGAGACGGCAGGCGGGACGAGUCAACGGAGGCCGGGUGGACAAAGGCAUGCAGCUGAGU